rnacentral:rRNA from 1 species
UACGUAGGUUGCUAGCGUUGUCCGGAUUUAUUGGGCGUAAAGAGCGUGUAGGCGGCCAUGUAGGUCCGGUGUGAAAACUCGAGGCUUAACCUCGAGAUGUCAUCGGAAACCAUUUGGCUAGAGUCCGGAAGAGGAGAGUGGAAUUCCUGGUGUAGCGGUGAAAUGCGCAGAUAUCAGGAAGAACACCAAUGGCGAAAGCAGCUCUCUGGGACGGUACUGACGCUGAGACGCGAAAGCGUGGGGAGCGAACAGG